CGGGUUGCCCGAAAAAAACACACCCAUGUGAAUGAACCCUUGUUUUCCCGAACUGAUCAAGGUAUCGAAGAAAUUCAAGUACAUGGUUACAGUUACAGUGGGAUAGCGAUACUGGCGGUGUUUGGUUUUUUAGAUAUUGCCCGAAAGUAUUCCAAUCUCGCCGCUUUUGCGAUUCAUAACGGCUCAACGGAACGCUCGUCCCCGCCCCAGCCUGCGCCGGCUGUUGUUGUUGUUGAUCGGCG
rnacentral:misc_RNA from 1 species